rnacentral:rRNA from 1 species
AUGAACGCUAGCUACAGGCUUAACACAUGCAAGUCGAGGGGCAGCAUGAACUUAGCUUGCUAAGUUUGAUGGCGACCGGCGCACGGGUGAGUAACACGUAUCCAACCUGCCGAUGACUCGGGGAUAGCCUUUCGAAAGAAAGAUUAAUACCCGAUGGCAUAGUUCUUCCGCAUGGUAGAACUAUUAAAGAAUUUCGGUCAUCGAUGGGGAUGCGUUCCAUUAGGUUGUUGGCGGGGUAACGGCCCACCAAGCCUUCGAUGGAUAGGGGUUCUGAGAGGAAGGUCCCCCACAUUGGAACUGAGACACGGUCCAAACUCCUACGGGAGGCAGCAGUGAGGAAUAUUGGUCAAUGGACGAGAGUCUGAACCAGCCAAGUAGCGUGAAGGAUGACUGCCCUAUGGGUUGUAAACUUCUUUUAUACGGGAAUAAAGUGAGGCACGUGUGCCUUUUUGUAUGUACCGUAUGAAUAAGGAUCGGCUAACUCCGUGCCAGCAGCCGCGGUAAUACGGAGGAUCCGAGCGUUAUCCGGAUUUAUUGGGUUUAAAGGGAGCGUAGGCGGACGCUUAAGUCAGUUGUGAAAGUUUGCGGCUCAACCGUAAAAUUGCAGUUGAUACUGGGUGUCUUGAGUACAGUAGAGGCAGGCGGAAUUCGUGGUGUAGCGGUGAAAUGCUUAGAUAUCACGAAGAACUCCGAUUGCGAAGGCAGCUUGCUGGACUGUAACUGACGCUGAUGCUCGAAAGUGUGGGUAUCAAACAGGAUUAGAUACCCUGGUAGUCCACACAGUAAACGAUGAAUACUCGCUGUUUGCGAUAUACAGUAAGCGGCCAAGCGAAAGCGUUAAGUAUUCCACCUGGGGAGUACGCCGGCAACGGUGAAACUCAAAGGAAUUGACGGGGGCCCGCACAAGCGGAGGAACAUGUGGUUUAAUUCGAUGAUACGCGAGGAACCUUACCCGGGCUUGAAUUGCAACUGAAUGAUGUGGAGACAUGUCAGCCGCAAGGCAGUUGUGAAGGUGCUGCAUGGUUGUCGUCAGCUCGUGUCGUGAGAUGUUGGGUUAAGUCCCGCAACGAGCGCAACCCUUAUCCUUUGUUGCCAGCGGUCCGGCCGGGAACUCAAAGGAGACUGCCAGUGAUAAACUGGAGGAAGGUGGGGAUGACGUCAAAUCAUCAUGCCCCUUAUGACCUGGGCUACACACGUGCUACAAUGGCGUAAACAAAGUGAAGCGAAGUCGUGAGGCCAAGCAAAUCACAAAAAUAACGUCUCAGUUCGGAUUGUAGUCUGCAACUCGACUACAUGAAGCUGGAAUCGCUAGUAAUCGCGGAUCAGAAUGCCGCGGUGAAUACGUUCCCGGGCCUUGUACACACCGCCCGUCAAGCCAUGAAAGCCGGGGGUACCUGAAGUGCGUAACCGCAAGGAGCGCCCUAGGGUAAAACUGGUGAUUGGGGCU